UGUAUUUCUGAUCAAUUUUAUGUUAUUUUAAUGGACAAAAAAUGUGCUUUUCUUUCAAAACAAGGACAAACAGUUUUUGAACGGUAGUGUAUAUUGUUCCUGAUAUUUGGAGUGUUGGUAAUAUGACACAGGUGAUUUUGGAGCGUUGGUAAUAUGACACAGGUGACUUUGGAGCGUUGGUAAUAUGACACAGGUGACUUUGGAGCGUUGGUAAUAUGACACAGGUGACUUUGGAGCGUUGGUAAUAUGACACAGGUGUAUAAAGAAUGCACAGUAGAGAGCACAUUCUCCAGGAAUAUCCAGCAAUAUUGGUCAUUGACAAUAUAUGACCAGGAACAAGAGUACAUCCUCCUGUGACAAUGAACCUGUUUCUGCAAACCAACUCUAGAUUGAAUCCAUGACAGUUCUGCUUUUAGUAAAGGUAGAUUUACUCAAUGUUUCUGAAGAAUGAUUUACAUUGGUGUUGGUAUUUAAUUAUGUUGAGGGGAUCUUUCCUAAAUAUCUGUACAAGAUGCAGAUUUUUAUUUUCAGAACAAAAUGUUCAAUUUUACAUUUAGUUAUUUAAAUUAAAAAUGUUAUUUUUGUUGAAUGAUUAUAGAGUAAAAAACAUUUUAAAUGGUUGUAAACAAGUCAUGUUUCCAGAAAGUUCAAAAAAGCCCACCUCCAAAUCAGACUGGAACAUUAUGGACUUUUUAAUGUUAAUAAUACAAAGAAAAUUGGACUAGCUGUAUUUUUUUUAAUGUACAUUUACAGUAUGUGUUUUUAGAUGUCCCUUCAAAAACAUUGUUUAGAGCUGUAGUGGUGCUUUCUACUCUCGGUACUGUUUUGUCACAAUCAGUUGUUUGUACACUUUUUUGUUGUAAUGUUUGGAUUUCGUUCCAGUGUUUUGUCACUAUCAAUGUUAUGGAACAAGCGAUGCUAUGUUUUUAUCUUCCUGAAUCAGACAUGAGUCCAUUGGGCAUUUCUAUAAUUAUUUAAGUCAAUGAUGUGGAGGUGCAAUUGUCUGAUACUACUAUGGCCCUCAAACUAAACUUUGGACCUCGAAGCCAGUUACCCUUUUUUUAUUAUUAUAAUUUUUUUCUCUAAUCAGGGACUGAUUUUAGGUUUGUGCAAUUAAUUAUCAGGUAGAAUAGAACCAGUAGGCGCCGGACCUCGUAGGGAAGGGGUGUCAAACUCAGUCUGUGGAGGGCCUAGUGUCUGCAGGUUUUUGUUUUUUUCCAUUCAAUUAAGGCCUAGACAACCAGGUGAUGGGGAGUUUUAUUAGUUAGUGACCUUAAUUCAUAAAUCGAGUACAAGGGAGGAGCGAAAACAAUUAAGACCUAGGCAACCAGGUGAGGGAAGUUCCCAACUAAUCAAUAACUUUAAUUUAGCAAUCAAGUACAAGGAAGGAGUGAAAAUAUGCACUCAGCCCUCCAUGAACACUCAGCCCUCCAUGAACACUCAGCCCUCCAUGAACACUCAGCCCUCCAUGAACACUCAGCCCUCCAUGAAAUUCGUUUUGACGCCUGUGCUCUACGACCAAUAUCUAGUCGUGAGAAAUAUCUUCUCAGUACUUUGUAAACGGUUACCAUGAAUCUAAUGAUUCUAUUAAUAUAUUGGCACCUCAGCUCGACAAACACUGUUUCUGGGCAGAAAUAUUCUGACCUUUUAGCUCAAUGUUCGUUUUCACUAGCACCUGUCACCUAAAACGUGUAAACCAUGCUUUGAGUUUUAUAUACGCUGUGUUUUUUGUAAAAUCUCAAUGUUACAGGCUGAAGAAUGUGCAUUGCUGUGGAUAUUGCAACUGGUAUUGUCUCUCUCGUCUAGAAGGGAUAAUUUUGCUGCUAGGGGAAUGAUUCAGAUUAACCUUAAUGCUUCAACUUUCAAUCAAUAAUGAUAACCCUAAAACCUGCAAAUAGUUAUUAUGCUUCCUCAUUUUCCCCUCCACUUACAAAGAAUCGGCUCAAUCAAAGUGAUUAAGUGUAUGCUGAAAUUCUUUCUUUUUUUUUGUUAAGGUACAUUAUACCACCUGUUGACAUCUCUAAUCACCUGCUUUUUAUUUAAGUGUUUGAAACAAACCAUUAAGAGGCAUUUAGAACAUAUCAGACACUGAGUCUGUUGAACUUCCAGUGGAAUUGUUUCCUCAGGGAAAUGUGUAUUUGUAACGAAUCAAGAAAUAUAAUGAAGUUAAUUACCUAACUGAAUUAAAAACAAUCCUGUUGGUAAACAUUUUAUUACAGUUCUAUUGUAUGUAGAUUGCUUGUUGUGCUACCAAAUCCAAUCUCCCAACCCCUAAGAGGCUUCUCUGGAAAAAAAAAAAUAAAACUUUUGUAAACGUAGAUUACUUAGCAAAUUUUUGUACUUGUAAUUUAUUUGUAUUUCUUUACUUAGGAUAGUGUUUCUAAUUUCUUUCGUUUUCUUUUCAAUAAAUGUGGUUGUCAAAUAAA